rnacentral:lncRNA from 1 species
UACAACAUGGAUGCUGUAACAUUAUCAAUUUAUGUCUUAUGUUUACAUCUUCAUGGCACACAUUUAGUAAAGUUGUUUGAUUGCCAGGGGGAUGUUACAUCACAUUUCAAAAGGUUAGGACUGAAAUGUGGACAGAGACGAGAUUUUACAGCCGAAAUUCUGUCGGAAGGCAAUUUAUAAUGGGUACAACUUCAAGUCAAAUCGGCACCUGGUCAAAUCGGCACCUUGUUAAAUCGGAACUAGUCAAAUCAGCACCUAUUUAAAGUCAAUUCGGCAUCCUAUAAUAUUUGAUAAAAUAAAUAUAAAUAAUUCUAAAAAUGUAUAAAUUCAUGAUCUAUUAUGGGGGUUGGAUUUUAGCUAGUCCAAAUAAUUAUGACGUCUGGCAAGGCUAUUUUAAUUUUUUUCUGGGACGCCUUCCUACGACGUCAUAACGCCGAAGCCAUUUUUUACAUCUGGAGUUUGAGAGCAAAUUUUGGGGGGAACUUUGACACCUAAUUUUAGGAAGUCGUCCCAGAAAAAAAAUAAAAUAGCCUUGCCAGACGUCAUAAUUAUUUGGACUAGAUUUUAGCAUGCAUUAAAACGCAUCAAGCAGCUAGAAUGCAAAAGUUUAUUAUCUAAAGUUUUCCCAACAUUCUAUGACUGACGUUUUGAUAAUUUUUCUUUUCAGGUAAUUAAUAACAUAGUUACUUCAAAAACUUCAUAAGAAACAACGAAGCCCUGCAAUAAUUAAUGAAAAAAUAUUAACUACUUCCUGUAGGUCGUGACGUUUUCGCCUGGUUUUUGCAUGCUGGGAUUUAAAAUACAAUCAUUAAAAGUCUUGGCUUUUAAUCAUAUUUUAACGUAAUUGUAAGCUCACCAAUGACUUAUGCUUUAUCUAAUAACCAUCUGAUAAUAAGAAGAUAAUAAGAAGAUAAAACACACAGACGUGCAAUUGUACACAUUCAUGAGAUGAGAUAAAUUUUCUAUGUAAAACGUAUAUAUUUGAAUUAUUUUUGUAGACAACACAAAAAGUUAUAAAUUUAUUUUUAAUUAAUGCAUUUUCGGACUAAUUAAGUGAAUAAAUUAACGUACAAUAAUCUGUUAAGACAAUAUGUUGGUGUACUCUUAUUGAUUGACCUUUUACUACCUCUGCUAUGACUGUGUGUGUAUUCACGGUUCUGUGGCAAUACUCGUAGAUGGCUUGUUGAAAGGUAAAUUGUUAUUUGCACUUCAGUAUUUAACCACGCCUCUAGGGCACACCUUGCCAGGUGUGACUGUCUUUUCGGAUCAGUGGAUUAUAAAACAAGGGAGCAUUUAAUACACACACAUUUAAAGUACAUACUCAAGUUGGUGACGAAUAAAAAAAUAGAUCGCCGUGGAAACCUAAUUCAUGUGUCAGAAUGAAAUGAUAUACACCGCUUGUCCUUGAUUUAUGUCUCAUAAAAAAGGGGAACUUAGAAAUUAGAAAUAGCUUAACCAAAGCAUUUUGAUUGUCUUAAUUAGGCAAAAAAAUGUACGAGUUAGACUUUUGAAAGCCAUGUAUUAAUUAAUAUCUGAAACUAUCUGAAGAUAACUCUACCGAAGCGGAAUAUAAUAUGUACGAAUACUUUUGUUUUCACAUCUUUUCACAUUUAUGAUUAAUUAUUGUUAUCUAUUGUUCAUUUAAUUACUUAAUUAGUACCUAUAUGUCUACUGCUUGGCAUUAAAUCUCUGUGUGGAAGGAAGGGAUUAUUACAUAUAGAUUAUAUUAUUUGGAUGAGGAUUUGAGCUAGCCUAUAAAAACACAUUAAUUAGUUAACAUACAUUCAAGACCAAAGGAUAUUAACUUUGAUGAUUCAAUUAACUUUUACUUAAAAACAACAGACAACGAAUUUAAUGUCAUCUUUCCCUAUUUUUGAAUGUAAUUAUAAGUCUGUUCAACUGGCAAGAAUACCCCUAAAGCGGACAAGCAGUUUAUUCUUUAAGUUGCUGUCAUUGAAUAUCAAGAAAGAAAAUAAAUCCCGAAAUUGAUUUGAAACUGUACGUAAUACUUAAUAGUUUUCCUAGAAAAUAUUCACAUCCCUUGGGGAUUAUCAGUGUACCUCCAGUUGCAUAUAUAUAUAUUACAUGAAUGUCGGAACAAUUGUGAUGAUGACGAAUUUCUUCCUUUAUUCGAGAACAAUCUAUUUGAUAUAUAAAUCUGUGAUUUUACUAUGUUCAUAACUUUGAUGAACCAAAGCAAGUUAUAUAUCGACCUGUAUUUAAAUCAAAUUGGUUCUCUUCUUCUUCUUCUUCUUUUGGUAUACAAAAGUCUAUCGAAUUCGUUGAUUACAUACCGUUGGCAUACGUUGACUAGUCUAUUUACAAAACUUUUACCCAAAUUUACACAAAAUGUAUGUUCCUUUCUUAUGUUCAAUGUAUAUACAUGUAUAUAUUUUAAAUUACGCUAUAGUUCCGUAACUUUCUAUCCAGGCGUAUAAACGAAUCGACAACAAGUGCGUACAUUUUUUAAAUCAAUAUCUGGUAUGUUCCAAUCUGUCCUUUACUAUUGACAACGAGUAUAUAUUACAUUUUUCCAAAUAAACCCUUGGAAAAAAUAUGUAAAUAGAUUUCUACUUUCUUCAAAUCUUUGUGGUUUAUAGACAUAUCAUGAUUUUUUUAUCGGAGAAGAUGACAAAAUAGCGGAAUGCAGACAAUUGAUACUCAAAAUUUAAAAUCAAUGGUGAUCUCUUAUCUAGCGGAAUAAAACUUUAAUAUCUAUAAAUUUGAGCAUUUUUAUACAGAAUGGACAUAAUAUCAAUUUUUGAUUUUUUUGCGAAGUUUCCCUUUAAACCAACAAUCCUGCAAAAUGUUCAACUGGUUAAAAAAUGUAUAAAAAAUAUCCAUUACCUCUUAUACAUAAUUAAAAAUACACAUUUAGUUUAUAUGAGAGAAAAAAAAUAUUUACAUCAACCCCCAAAAAAAUGUGAAUAAAAUUAAGUGAAUAUCUCUAGACAACCUCUUCCUUAAUUAACUCUUCUUGCGUAAAUACUGAAAAAAUUUCUGGACAACCCAUUCCUUAUUAUACCCCCUACUUUGUCCUCUGUCUGUAUACUGUUUUACCUCUGUCUGUCCUUUCCGUCAGUCCCAUGAAUAUUUUCGUUUCGUCAUUUUUGAAAUCUGAAACGUUUUGUAUUUUUCGAAAAUCUUAGAUUGAAACCAUUUUUCUUUCUUAAAAUUUCUCUUUUACAUCAACCCCCAAAAAAUGUGAAUAAAAUUAAGUGAAUAUCUCUAGACAACCUCUUCCUUAAUUAACUCUUCUUGCGUAAAUACUGAAAAAUUUCUGGACAACCCAUUCCUUAUUAUACCCCCGCUUUAAAAAAGGGGGGUAUACUGUUUUACCUCUGUCUGUCCUUCCGUCAGUCCCAUGAAUAUUUUCGUCGCAUUUAUUGAAAUCUACGUUUUGUAUUACGAAAAUCUUAGAUUGAAACCAUUUUUCUCUUAAAAAAAGGUUUGUUGGUUUAUUUUUACAACUUUCCAAAAUAUACUUUCUGUCUCUUCCGGUACUACUUUUCUAUUGAGAGCGAACAAUUUGAUUUUGAGCUUAAUACAUUUUAUGCUUCUUCAUAAAGUGAUCAUAAUUGGCUUUAGUUUACGUUUAAUCCAUUUAAUCCAUUAAAAGCGUCAUUCAUUCCCAAUCUCUUGUUUAUUGUUGGACUCAUUUUUGUUAAAAAAAAAUUUGGCUGCCAUUGCACACUACGGUUCGGAACCGGACCAGAUAUGACAAAAAUCCGCAUUUUCACGAUAGAGAACUACGCAUAAAAAGACUAUUUUUCUGAAAACUUUGUCAAAAAUAUAUAUAUCAUUUUGAUGUAAAGAUUAGAAACAACUGGAACUAAAUCAUUGGCCCAAUUGGGUACCUUGAAACAAUGAAUUUCAUAGACAUGAUGAAGAAAAAAGUUUUUAAAUUGAGAUUUUUUUGCUAUUUAUAACACUUUCUUUACUCUUUUGAUAUAAAAAAAAAAAAGGUUUCUUUUUUGUACUAGAUAUUUAUAUGUUUAUCAUUGUAUAUAUAUACAAGUUGCACUAUGAUAAAUCAUUCAUUCAUUUUACUUUCAUCAUGUUCAUGACUUAUAGUAACUGAAACCACAUAUAUAUAUUUUUAUUUGGCACAAGAGGCAAAAAAUAAUUCUGUAACUAUAAAUGAAUAAAUAAAACAAACUGAAACAACUGUAUUCAUGGUAUUAGUGAUUAGUCUAAUUGUAUUCUCAGUAAUGAAUUGAACAAUAUAAACAUAUACAUGUAUAACAUAAAGGAAAUCAAUGGAAAUAGAGCAUCGCUGAGACGCGACAAAUGACACAGUUAAUUUUUUUUUACGCCAAAUGGGAUGCUAUCUUCUGGGGAUAACACUGCACUUGUAAGAAAGGGACUUCAGGAUCAGCCUUUCUGAGAUCCAUAAAUAAUUGUACUACAAAUGUAGCUAUUUCUUCAUAAUAUAAUAGUGAAAAAAAAACUAUUAUUAAUGUUGUUUUAAUCAUAAAUAUGAAUCCAGCUGUUCACAAUCUUUUUACCGAUUUACUCCUAUCACAAUUUUAUAGUAUUGAACACAAUCAUGACAAUAUACAUGUAUACACAUAGACAUACAUGUUCAUGUAUGUAGUAUAUAUGCACAUGGGUAAAACAUUUUUUGAUGAACUGAACAUGAUAGAUAUAUUUUUUUUUAAUUUCUACUUCAGGUGGAAAAUAUUAGCUGCAGUUUAUCAUUGUUUAUUAUGAUUUUCAAAUGUUUGCAUAACAUGGACAGCUUAUGACAUAUGAUUUUUUUCUUCAAUUUGCACAGGAUUAUGUAUAGUCUGCUACAACAUAUACAAGAGAUGCAGUCAAAAGAAUGCUACAUGUAUGACUGAGGAAGAGAAUUUACCAGCUCAGCUACAUUGUACAAGUACCACCGGAGCCAUUAAUAGAUGUAUGUACAUGUACAAACAAAACUUUUAAAAAAAAUGUUCUUAG